rfam:Francisella sp. CA97-1460, complete genome.
UAUUAAAAUACUAUAGAUACAAACUAAAUUUUAAAAGUAUUAAUUAGGAGUGAAAAUAGAUGGCUCGUAUAGCUGGCGUUAAUAUUCCUGUU